UACGGGGGGGGGUAAGCGUUGUUCGGAAUUACUGGGCGUAAAGGGUUCGUAGGUGGCCUGCUAAGUCAGACGUGAAAUCCCUCAGCUCAACUGGGGAACUGCGUCUGAGACUGGCGGGCUCGAGUGCAGGAGAGGAACGCGGAAUUCCAGGUGUAGCGGUGAAAUGCGUAGAUAUCUGGAGGAACACCGGUGGCGAAGGCGGCGUUCUGGACUGCUACUGACACUGAGGAACGAAAGCCAGGGGAGCAAACGGG
rnacentral:rRNA from 1 species